UUAUCCGAUCUCUUAUUAAUAGGGACGAGCAACUUCGAGCAGUUGUGUAUAUAUGUGCAUUCAAGUUGGAAGAUGCUUUCCCACCAGUUCCCUUACUGAAAUCCCAUUUGGAAUGCAUCCAGAAGAGAGUGCAGGAAAUGCUCAGAAAUGGCAGUGAUACAGCUCAGAAUGACGCUGUCAAUAUGGAAAUAUCUGCCCUCAGAGUCUUAAUCAACUGCAUUUCCAAUUUCAAGCUUGAGUCCAGUUUUUCACCAGCUCCUCUGGAAUUGCGCAUAAAGCAAUUAGAGAAGGAGAUAGAAGGAAAGGCGAGUGCUGAAAGCUAAUGACAAUAAAGAAGAAUCAAAGUAUAGGUUAUUAACGCUACAUAUUAUGCCGCUGAAUUCAGUAAUAGGAUUGUCCAAGAAGCCGGGGAGUCUAUCAGAUUGCUUAGUUAAGGGGUUUGAUACGAUUUAACGAGGGAGUAUAUCCACCACAGUCUACAAGUUAGAGUAAAUCAUUGUUGAUUGAGGAAAUUAAAGGAUAUAAAGGGGUGGUUUUUUGGUUACGCUUGGACCUCAAAAGUUGUAUUAGAGGGAUUUUUAUUGAUACAAUUGAUAAGUUGUAUGAUGAUUAUCUCGAUGUUGUGAUGCAUUAUUAUUAUUUACUAUAGCUCGUCGAUGGCAACGGACAAAGUAAGGACUAGAAAUCAAGGCGAGCCAAUGCUUCGAGACAGCUUACAUUGAUGUGCUGAUUUCACCGGUACUCAAACAAGAAUCUCCGUUAAUUUUUGUUGGUCUAAACUUUAUACUUCGUAAUAUGGAGUAUGUAUUUAUAAGGUUGUGUUUAGUUUACUUCAUUUUUGCAUAUUUGAUUUGAUUUUUUUUUUAGACCUGAUUGUCUGAUUAGACUAAUUAUAACGUAAAAAAAAAAUUAAAAAAAAAAAAAUCUGCCGAAACCCACCGUUCUAGCCAAGCCCACCUACCGAAAUCCACCAUUUUUCCAUGCCCAGCCACCGAAACAUAAAAGACUUGGAGCAGCAACAAUCAAGUAAUCAACUAUGAAAGUGAUGCCUUCUUAAUUUUUUUUUUUUCUUUUAGAAAUGCAAUAAAAAAAUCCCCUCAAAAAAGAAAUGCAAUAAAAAAAUAAAGAGUAUGUGAAAUUGUGAAUGGUCGAAUUGAGGAAAAGGUGUUAUAGAUAUGGUGGGGGUAGACAAAGGUAAAGCAUAUUAAUUACAGCAAUUAAUUAAUUAAAAUUCUAAUUCCUUAAAAAUAGUAAGAAGGUAAGGCUACAGCCUGCGAUUAAAGUCAAGAGGCCUCAUAGCAAAACAAAACCAACACUUCCAAAAUCAUUUAAGUAAAACAAAGGCAAAAAAGCUCCGAUCAGCUUCUAACAACAAUGGAGAUUCCUUUUGAUUGUCAUUCUGGAAAGUUGUUUAGGAGAUGGUAAGGGGGAUAGAUAAAGAUGAAAAAUAAAAGAAAAAGAAUGAAAAAAAAA